GUCUGCAACUCGCCUGCAUGAAGCUGGAAUUGCUAGUAAUCGCGGAUCAGCAAGCCGCGGUGAAUACGUUCCCGGGCCUUGUACACACCGCCCGUCACACCAUGAGAGUCGGGAACACCCGAAGUCCGUAGUCUAACCGCAAGGGGGGCGCGGCCGAAGGUGGGUCCGGUAAUUGGGGUGAAGUCGUAACAAGGUAGC
rnacentral:rRNA from 1 species